GUUCAUUCCUACGUUAGAACAUACGUUAGAUUUGAAAUAACACAGAGAUUAGCAUGGCCGCUGCACAAGGAUGGCACGCAAAUUCAUGAAGCGUUCCAAAUUUUC
rfam:Oesophagostomum dentatum strain OD-Hann O_dentatum-1.0_Cont8104.1, whole genome shotgun sequence.